CUGAAUGAACGCUAUCUCAAGUGCUUGACACAUGCUAAUCUUACGUCUAAUUUAAAUAUUAACCAAAACCAAUGGAUAAAUUAUCUAAUUUACACCUGGGUAAUAUAUUUAUAGUGGGGGUUUUUUUAUUAGAAGUGGUGUACAGGUGAGUAAAUGAUAUUUUGGCUACCUUAAAGUGAGGUUUAAAAAUGCCUUGAGGAAAAAAAUUCCGCUUUAAGAGGACAAUGAAUAUUUCGGAUAGGUAGUCGAUAAAGUAAUUUUUUUAUCGAGCUUAUAAUUCCGUAAUCGUAACUGAGAGGUUGAUCGAUCACAUUGGGUCUGAAAAAAGCCCAAUACGUAUAGUACAGCAGUGGGGAAUAUUGGUCAAUAGCCGUCAGGCUGAACCAGCAACUUGGGAGUAUGUAUAGCUUUUAACUAAGCUAAUAUCACGUACUAAUGGUGUGUAUAAACCAUUUAUACGGUAGAGAGAAAUAACUCUACAAGACCAUAAGAAGGUGGGCUGGCCCAGCAAUGGGUAGGUGCCAACUCGAUACCCGUAAGGGGGACGGGGGUAAAUCGACGAGUACGUGAGGACCCGGCUAAGCGGAAAACAUCUUUUUCUAGGCGUAAGGGGAAUUAUAUUUUUCGAGUCGUCUUCUUAAGAGGGUGUUUAAACAAUUUAAUAUAGUCGUUGCCUACAAACACUAAUAUAAAUUGGAAUAAACUUUACUUUGAUAUAUCGAUUUACUCGAAUAAAAUACUAGGUAGUAAAAUAUCUUAAUGUAAAGGGUUAAGAUUUCUCUAAUAUAGGAAUUACGAAUUGAUUAUGACCUUAAGCUAUCUACAAGUCUUGACCAAAAUACGUGCCAGCAGUCGCGGUAAUACGUAAAAGACUAGUGUUAUUCAUCUUUACCAGGUUUAAAGGGUACCUAGACGGUAAAAAUCGUCGUAAAGAUACGAUUAUACUAGAGUUAUAUAUAAGGAGGUGAGUAUUUAUGGAGUGUGAGAGUUGAAAUUUGUUCAUACCAUAAGGACUGGUAAAGGCGAAAGCUAACCUUUUAUACUAAUAACUGACGUUGAGGGACGAAGGCUCGGGUCGCGAACAGGAUUAGACACCCUAGUAGUCCAAGCAGAAAAUUAUGAAUGCUAUAGGUUAGAAAAUUUAGUCUAUAAAUUAAAAUGUAAGCAUUCCACCUCAAGAGUAAUGCGGCAACGCAGGAACUGAAACCAUUAGACCGUUUACUGAAACCAGUAGUGAAGUAUGUUAUUUAAUUCGUAGGUACGCGAAAAACCUUACCACAACUUGAAUAUUAUCCUGUGCAGGAUAUUACAGGCGUUGCACGGCUGUCUUCAGUUAAUGUCGUGAGAUGGCGGUUAACUCCUUUAAAUUAACGGAAACCCUUGCUUUAAUUAUUAAUUUUGAAAUAAAGCAGUUCACCAUCUAAAUCGGAUAUGAUCACAGGGGCCAAGACAAGUCAUCAUGGCCCAAAUGGUGUGGGCGAUAGACGUGCCACAUAUUCCUAUACAAAAUGAUGCGAUAAUGCG
rnacentral:rRNA from 1 species